GCUGAAAUGGCGGAAUGGCAGACGCGAUGGACUUAAAAUCCAUUGGGACCUCCCGUGCGGGUUCGAGUCCCGCUUUCAGCACCA
rnacentral:tRNA from 1 species